CGGGGUGUAGCGCAGCCCGGUAGCGCGCCUGCUUUGGGAGCAGGAUGUCGGGAGUUCGAAUCUCUUCACCCCGACCA
rnacentral:tRNA from 6 species